rnacentral:rRNA from 1 species
UGAGGAAUCUUGCGCAAUGGGCGAAAGCCUGACGCAGCAACGCCGCGUGGAGGAUGAAGGUCUUCGGAUCGUAAACUCCUGUCAGAUGGGGCGAAGGUCCACUGCCUAAUACGCAGUGGUCUUGACGGUACCAUCAGAGGAAGCCACGGCUAACUCUGUGCCAGCAGCCGCGGUAAUACAGAGGGUGCAAGCGUUGCUCGGAAUCACUGGGCGUAAAGGGUGCGUAGGCGGCCUCGUAAGUCUGACGUGAAAGCCCCGGGCUCAGCCCGGGAAGUGCGCUAGAAACUGUGAGGCUCGAGUGCCGGAGGGGAGAGUGGAAUUCCUGGUGUAGCGGUGAAAUGCGUAGAUAUCAGGAGGAAUACCGGUGGCGAAAGCGACUCUCUGGACGGCAACUGACGCUGAGGCACGAAAGCGUGGGGAGCAAACAGGAUUAGAUACCCACGUAGUCCCUGAGCGGGCUGGCAAGGCGCAU